UAUACGAACAAAAGUAACACAUGUAUUGUACUUAUAUAUGUGUGUAUAUAUACUUAUCUCCUGCUAACAGAUCCAUAGAUUAGGAGCAUUGAACAGAGGAAAGAAAAACAUGAUGAAGGGUCAGUGCAUGCCCCGUUUGAAAAGCAACUCCUGCAAGAACAAAGCACCAUCUCCAAUGACCUUAUUAGAGCGUUUCAGAGAAGCAGUGUUCCGCUUAAUGAUGCUAUCUGCACUUUCAAAGGCCAACACCAACCACCGUGGCUCCGGCGACGGCGAACGCCAACACCGUCGCUGCAGCCCCCAUGACCCUCAGCACAGUGAAGCCGUAGCAGAUUGCAUCGAGUUCAUUAAGAAAAAGGCUGCCACCGACACCUGUUAAUCAAAACCCUCACUGAUAGUGUUUUAUUGCUCUGUAGUUUCGACCACCGUCAUGUCAUGGUGUGAGAUGUGGACGGAGAAUUCCGGAUUUUUAUGCGUUUGUGAAGUUGAAUUAAGCAAUGUGUAGAUAACAAUACAUUUUGUUCAUUAAUUGUGUUUGUUUUGUUUU